rnacentral:lncRNA from 1 species
UGGCCUCCCAAAGUGCUGGGAUUACAGGCGUGAGCCACUGCGCCAAGCCAAGUUUGGUUUUUUAACCAUGCUGUUCCAGCAAAGAUGGGACCUCAAACUACCACUGCAAGCCCAUGGACUUCCCAGAGAGGGUAACGGCUUGCUCUUCUUUCUGGAAUGUCCAUGCAUUUGGGUUUUGAUCAGCAGUUCCCUAUUGCUCUAACUGAUUUUAAGCUGUUCCUAUGACAAACUUAGAGACAGCGUCGGUGUCUGCUGCUGUGUCCCCAGGUAUUGUGUGGGUGGCACAGAUCUGGGCAGUUAGAUGGAGCUCUAUGCAUGAGAUGAAGCCACACUGGCGUGAAGCCUCGCUGCCCUGUUUGAGUGAGGCAGUCCCUGCUGCCCGAAUGCGUGAAGGUACAGCCAUUCAGUAAAGCUUACUGGAAGAGACACAGUCUUUGGAGUUGGAUGAUCUGGGAUUGAAGGCUGGCUCUUUUGAUUUAUAUCUACCUGAAGUCUUCAAGUUUUAGGUCUCUACUCACCAAAACAAAGAUAAUAAUAUCUACCUGUAUGGCUGUUGUGAGAAUUAAGUGGCUGCUUGUGCCACUCCCUAAGUAUUUGCAGGAAUCCUAAGCAGUCACAUCAGGCUCGAAUUUAGUGAACCUACUCUUAGUCUCCAAACCUCCCAUCCAGAGCCAUUACAGAGAAAACUACCUCUAACUGAAGUUGCGCAUUGGAACACCUUGUUUAAAGGCCGGGCUUCAAAUUCA